ensembl:lncRNA
GGUCACUUGACAAGUGACAGCAAAGAUAAAAGGCUGGGGCAUGUUGUGACAUGUACCUGGGUUUAUCUUCCCCAUUUGUAGCACACUUUUCUUUGUGUAUUUCUCUCCUCCUCUAUUGCCCUUGUUGCUGUUGACCUCUUGCAAACAUGGCACCUCUGCUUCCCAGAUUUUGGGAGCAUUGAGACACAAAAAACCUGCUUGAGUUGGAAGGCAAAUACAUCCUUUGGUUUUCCUUACAUUUUUCAAUUUAUCACCUCUGUUCUCCUAUGUGUCCCCUCCCUUUUUUGCAUCCUUUUUCACCUCACCAAGACUACUUGGUCCUCUUUUUUUCCUGCAGGUUUCUCCUGCAGCCCUGGCAAAUCCAUGCACCACCCUCUGGUACAGAGCUGGUCUAGAGGUGACAGUGAGGGCUGAGGGCCACGCUGGGCUGGGCUGGAUCCACGGAGCAGGACAGCCCUCACCUCACCCUGGAGAUGCUGCAGGAUGAGUAUUUGAAAAUACAAGGGGUAAAGCAAACAAAGAGGAUGCAGAUUUGGUACAAAGUGCGAUAUUUGCUUGUUACAUGUUUGGCCAUGUUCAUGCAUUCUGGGAACAAAAAAGAGGCACUGAAGGGGCAGGAUGGUGGCUCCUUUGCCAAGCACAAAGAGGAUAUAUUUUCCCCUCCUCAUUAUCCUACUCCUUCACCUCAGACUGAGGCUAAAAAAGCCAUGAACAACCAUGGUGAAACAACAAGGGAAACUACUGGUGUUUUUGGACAUGAGAUGAUUUGGAAUUUUUAUUUAGCACUGAUGUCUUUUCAGUAAAAAGAGAAGAUGCACAUACACACACACAAAAGAGGUCUCUUUCCAAGAGAAACGAUAUAGCAAAACUCUGAUUGUAAUUCAAGAAUUAAAGUUAAGUAUUAUGUGUGUAUGUGAUAGAUCUCAGAGAAGAGUCCUGUUAGAGGGGAAACAAGAAAAGCUGCACAGACACAAGAACUCAGGAGCAAACAAGACUGUCUUUGCAGAAUGGAUCAGUUCUUGGAAAACCGAGGGCGUACCAAAGGGGGAAGUCACUAGAGGGCAUCAUCACCUACUCAAUCCUGCCUGCAGACCAGGUCAGACCUAUCAUACCCUACCCUCCAGAAGCUACGCUGUUCUCUGUAGGAGUGCCUCCUGCAGAGCUCUGAAAACUCAGAUUCCACUUGUUCCCAUGGCCUUAGCAGAGGAGGUCCUGCAGGGGCACGAUGAAAAUGGACUACUUUGGGUUACAGCAGAGAAGAGAAGAGAAUUGUUAAAAAUGGCGCUACUGAACAGACCUGUCCAUCAACUUCCUUCACUUCUGUGUGGGAUUAUUUGUAAAAGUACUCACAUAUCAACUUUUCCAAACUGCCCUGACCAUUUGGAAAGACAAAGUGCUGAACAGAACGUGAGAAGAUGAGUAGCUUUGUAAGACCCAGGGCAGGAAUUAUCUCCCACAGAUUCACCAUGGAUGUGUCUACUGUGCAGCACUCCUAACACAACCCAGCUCCCAGACUUCCACAAGGGCUCUUAGAGUGAACACGAGAGUUGAAAGAUCUGGGUGUUGCAUGAACUGAAAACAUAGGGGAGAAGGUCCAUCAGCCCCAUUCUUUAUUUAUCCUUUUCUCUCUUGUUUCCUGUGCUCCCUAAAAAAUCCUGUAGUGUAUCAUCUCCAUAGCUUUGAAUUUUUAACCAUAAGCACAACACAGUCUCAGGAUCCUUUAAAACAUCACUGCUUGGACUGCUUUCCUAGUGGUAAAGCAUGCACAUGCAACCUGGGAGUCAGGGAGAUUUUGGUCCCUUGAAUCUUAUUACAGACAGUGCUUCACACACACAAAUUCACACCAGGGUGAAACUCAGGUACAGGCUGCCCCCUGCUUACCAUCCCCAUGUCCCAGUCCCACAGCUGGGGUGUGGUGUGGGUGUGACAGGCCACGGGACUCGUGUUCCCCUGUCUGCGCACAGGGAUGGCACAGGGAGCACCUGCUGCUCAGCUAGGUGCAGGGCAGAAGAGAUUUUAUCACUGUGAGACCUCACUGCUGGCAUUUUCCAAAUUAAUCUCUUUUGUGGGUGAAAAGCUGUAGUAUCUUGAGUAAGGUCUUUAUCUGUCAAAGGACUUGGAAGGAAUAUCCAUUUUUUCAGGAAAUUAUGGAGCUCAGAAAAACUGCAGGCUAGAGAUGCAUUGUCUUAUGGCACGCAAAAUACACCUGUCUCACCAGGGUCUUCCAAGAGCAGCUUUGGACCACCUCCAAAGCCUGGAGCAGUGCAAAAAGCACCUGAAUUUCCAGUGUGGGAAACACCUGUUACACAGGAAACAUGUCCAUAGGUCAUAAAGAGUGUGUUGCAUUUUGAUUUUCUCCUGGGAUUUUCCUUUCAAAGGGUGGGUACAUGGAGCUGUUCUAUCCAUGCUGACUCCCAAGUGCAUGCUUCAGUCUGGAGGGAAUAAAUAAGCAGUAGGUGAAUAAAACCCCUGCCCU